UUUGCCCUUUUUCUGAUAAUUCCUGCUUGCAACACCUCGAAUGACAUUUGCCAACGUUCACAAAGUGUCUUCAUGAAAAUAAAAGUUAGCGGCUAUACUGUUGCAGAAAAAGAUAUAAUUUCAAGUAUUGUUGUCGACAGUCUCAUUAAUGCUCUAUGAAUUGUCUUCAACAAAAACAGUGUGUUGGCUUUAGCUAUCUAAACGAUGCAAAAGAACAUGAGAUAAACUGCCAAACCAGCAAGAUGACAAUAAAUACUAGUGAAA